GCCUGGAUGGCGGAAUAGGUAGACGCAAGGGACUUAAAAUCCCUCGGCGCUUAGCGCUGUGCCGGUUCGAUUCCGGCUCCAGGCACCA
rnacentral:tRNA from 1 species